UACGUAGGGGGCUAGCGUUGUCCGGAUUUAUUGGGCGUAAAGAGCGUGUAGGCGGCCGCACAGGUCCGUUGUGAAAACUGGAGGCUUAACCUUCAGACGUCGAUGGAAACCGUGCGGCUAGAGUCCGGAAGAGGAGAAUGGAAUUCCUGGUGUAGCGGUGAAAUGCGCAGAUAUCAGGAAGAACACCCGUGGCUAAGGCGGUUCUCUAGUACGGUACUGACGCUGAGACGCGAAAGCGUGGGGAGCGAACAGG
rnacentral:rRNA from 1 species